rnacentral:rRNA from 1 species
CACGUAGUUAGCCGGUGCUUCUUCUCCAUCUACCGUCAGAAACCCUUCGUCGAUGGUGAAAGGAGUUUACAACCCGAAGGCCGUCAUCCCCCACGCGGCGUCGCUGCAUCAGGCUUCCGCCCAUUGUGCAAUAUUCCCCCACUGCUGCCUCCCGUAGGAGUCUGGGCCGUGUCUCAGUCCCAAUGUGGCCGUCCACCCUCUCAGGCCGGCUACCCGUCGCCGCCUUGGUAGGCCAUUACCCCACCAACAAGCUGAUAGGCCGCGGGCCCAUCCCACACCGAAAAAACCUUUCCACCACACCCUCACGGUGCGGUCCUAUCCGGUAUUAGACCCAGUUUCCCAGGCUUAUCCCGAAGUGCAGGGCAGGUCACCCACGUGUUACUCACCCGUUCGCCACUCGUGUACCCCAGCAAGCUGGAGCCUUACCGUUCGACUUGCAUGUGUUAAGCACGCCGCCAGCGUGUCCUCGUGCACGGAGUCAACUACU